UUGAAGGAGACAAGGUGAAGGAAACGAUGAUCCCAGCCCGUGUCCUAAAUGCUUGUGAUGGAUGAAGACAAGUUAUAAAACUCAAUAAAACAAGGGCCUGUUGUGCUGGGCUUUGCUCCUCCUACUUUCCAGAGCACCUGAAGGAAAAAUCGUGGGAGUGUGACAAGAAGCAGCAGGGACACAGAAAGUGACAGGCUGCACAAACUCUGUUCACAUACGAAGCACAGUAGCAGAAGGCUAAGAUAAGAAGAACACGUCUGAUGGGGAACCUUUUGGUCCAAACACGUGGGCUGGAUGGAGUUGAUGCACCACAUGGCAUUGGGCCCCAGAUUGCUCCUGAGGAUGCUGGGUCCUACUGUUGUACAAGUAAAUAGGUUGGAAGAAAAGCUUGAGGCAAAGAAGGGGAACACGCACACUGAAAAUGAACCUGCAAACAGAGAAGAAGCAGAUGAACUGGUGCUAUAACUUGCCACAGUUCUGUUAAUUUGAGUAUAACUGAAUUUAUGCUGAAUAUGCUCCUCUCAGCCUAAGAGAGAAAGAAAUGACCCCAACAGUGAAGGCAGAGUUUGGGCAAAGAGGGUCCUGUGAAUCAUAAAGGGGGUCCUAGCAAUGCAAAAAGGAGGAUAUGGCCCAGAGAACAGUGAAGACAUCUGCCAGAGACAGGAAACAGACUGACAUGCUGGGAACACGGAGGGCAUGGGCUCAAGGAGAGGUACAUGUUGAAAAUGCAAAGGUAUUGGAAGAGAGAGGAAAACAUCAGAUCACAAGGCAUGAAGCUGGUGCUGAGAACCAAGAGGUGACUCAGAGGACAGAGCACACUUCUCUGUUCGACAGAU